CUUGCGAUGUGCCUAAGGUAUGUAAGUCGAACGAUUCCUGUAUCUUCGGAUACGGGGAGUGGCAAACGGCUGAGUAACGCGUAGGAACCUACCCCAAACUCGAGUAUAGCCCCGCGAAAGCGGGGGUAAUCCUCGAUAGCCCGUGAAGUAUUUUACUUCACGGUAAAGCUUUUGCGGUUUGGGAUGGGCCUGCGUCCUAUCAGGUAGUUGGUGAGGUAAAUGCUCACCAAGCCUAUGACGGGUAGCUGGUCUGAGAGGAUGGUCAGCCAGACUGGGACUGCGACACGGCCCAGACUCCUACGGGAGGCAGCAACUAGGAAUUGUGCGCAAUGGACGAAAGUCUGACGCCGCGACAUCGCGUGGAGGAUGAAGGUCUUCGGAUUGUAAACUCCUUUUCUUACCGAACAAGUUCUGAGUGUAGGUAAGGAAUAAGUGCCUGCUAACCACGUGCCAGAAGCAUCGGUAAUACGUGGGGCACGAGCGUUAUCCGGGUUUACUGGGCGUAAAGAGAAGCGUAGGCGGCUCGAUAAGUUUGGUGUUAAAUCUUCCGGCUCAACCGGAAACAAGCACCGAAAACUAUCGAGAUUGAGUCGAGUAGGGAAGAGGGGAAUUCCUGGUGGAGCGGUUAAAUGCGUAGAUAUCAGGAGGAAUACCAAGGGCGAAGGCACCUCUUUGGACUCGUACUGACGCUGAGGCUCGAAAGCGUGGGUAGCAAAACGGAUUAGAUACCCGUGUAGUCCACGCCGUAAACGAUCCCUGUUAGAUGU
rnacentral:rRNA from 1 species